AUGAACGCUGGCGGCGUGCCUAAUACAUGCCGGUCGAGCGAACGGACGAGAAGCUUGCUUCUCUGAUGUUAGCGGCGGACGGGUGAGUAACACGUGGAUAACCUACCUAUAAGACUGGGAUAACUUCGGGAAACCGGAGCUAAUACCGGAUAAUAUUUUGAACCGCAUGGUUCAAAAGUGAAAGACGGUCUUGCUGUCACUUAUAGAUGGAUCCGCGCUGCAUUAGCUAGUUGGUAAGGUAACGGCUUACCAAGGCAACGAUGCAUAGCCGACCUGAGAGGGUGAUCGGCCACACUGGACCUGAGACACGGUCCAGACUCCUACGGGAGGCAGCAGUAGGGAAUCUUCCGCAAUGGGCGAAAGCCUGACGGAGCAACGCCGCGUGAGUGAUGAAGGUCUUCGGAUCGUAAAACUCUGUUAUUAGGGAAGAACAUAUGUGUAAGUAACUGUGCACAUCUUGACGGUACCUAAUCAGAAAGCCACGGCUAACUACGUG
rnacentral:rRNA from 1 species